rnacentral:rRNA from 1 species
GACGAACGCUGGCGGCGUGCUUAACACAUGCAAGUCGAGCGGUAAGGCCCUUUCGGGGGUACACGAGCAGCGAACGGGUGAGUAACACGUGGGUGACCUGCCCUCAGCUCUGGGAUAAGCCUGGGAAACUGGGUCUAAUACCGGAUAUGACUUCGCAUCGCAUGGUGUGGGGUGGAAAGUUUUUCGGCUGGGGAGUGGGCCCGCGGCCUAUCAGCUUGUUGGUGGGGUGGAUGGCCUACCAAGGCGACGACGGGUAGCCGGCCUGAGAGGGCGGACCGGCCACACUGGGACUGAGACACGGCCCAGACUCCUACGGGAGGCAGCAGUGGGGAAUAUUGCGCAAUGGGCGGAAGCCUGACGCAGCGACGCCGCGUGGGGAUGACGGCCU